ensembl:snRNA U6 U6 spliceosomal RNA
GUGCUCACUUCGGCAGCACAGAUACUACAGCCGGCGUGAUAUGGAGAUUAGCAUGGCCCCUGCCCAAGGAUGGAUAGUAUCUGACAGCAAAUAUUUAUUUGU